GCAAGUCGAGCGAAGUUUAAGAGAUGCUUGCAUCACUUGAACUUAGCGGCGAACGGGUGAGUAACACGUAAAGAACCUGCCUCAUAGACUGGGACAACUACUGGAAACGGUAGCUAAUACCGGAUAAUAUAUUUCUUUGCAUGAAGGAAUAUUGAAAGUCGGUCAAGCUGACACUAUGAGAUGGCUUUGCGGUGCAUUAGCUAGUUGGUAGGGUAAAGGCCUACCAAGGCAACGAUGCAUAGCCGACCUGAGAGGGUGAUC
rnacentral:rRNA from 1 species